rnacentral:rRNA from 1 species
GAUGAACGCUGGCGGCGUGCCUAAUACAUGCAAGUCGAGCGAACGGACGAGAAGCUUGCUUCUCUGAUGUUAGCGGCGGACGGGUGAGUAACACGUGGAUAACCUACCUAUAAGACUGGGAUAACUUCGGGAAACCGUAGCUAAUACCGGAUAAUAUUUUGAACCGCAUGGUUCAAAAGUGAAAGACGGUCUUGCUGUCACUUAUAGAUGGAUCCGCGCUGCAUUAGCUAGUUGGUAAGGUAACGGCUUACCAAGGCAACGAUGCAUAGCCGAACGGAGCGGGUGAUCGGCCACCCUGGAACUGGGACACGGUCCAGACUCCUAAGGGAGGCAGCAGUAGGGAAUCUUCCGCAAUGGGCGAAAGCCUGACGGAGCAACGCCGCGUGAGUGAUGAAGGUCUUCGGAUCGUAAAACUCUGUUAUUAGGGAAGAACAUAUGUGUAAGUAACUGUGCACAUCUUGACGGUACCUAAUCAGAAAGCCACGGCUAACUACGUG